rnacentral:rRNA from 1 species
AUUGAACGCUGGCGGCAGGCCUAACACAUGCAAGUCGAGCGGAGCGGCGGACGGGUGAGUAAUGCAUAGGAAUCUGCCUGGGAGAGGGGGAUAACGUCCGGAAACGGGCGCUAAUACCGCAUACUAUCAGAUGAGCCGAGGUCGGAUUAGCUAGUUGGUGGGGGAAAGGCCUACCAAGGCGACGAUCAGUAAAGGGUCUGAGAGGAUGAUCAGUCACACUGGAACUGAGACACGGUCCAGACUCCUACGGGAGGCAGCAGUGGGGAAUAUUGGACAAUGGUCGAAAUCCUGAUCCAGCCAUGCCGCGUGUGUUAAGAAGGUCUUCGGAUUGUAAAGCACUUUAAGUUGGGAGGCGUUACCAACAGAAUAAGCACCGGCUAACUUCGUGCCAGCAGCCGCGGUAAUAC